rnacentral:lncRNA from 1 species
GAAGAGUGGGUAAAAACGGCGAUGAUUGAUGACUUGAUGGUGGUGGAGCUCCUUAUGCGGCUAAACCAAUCUCAACAUCCGCCGCCUCCGCCGUCGGGGGAGAUUAAGCAGCUUAAGUGGAGCGUCCGUCAACGCCGGUCCAGACCUGCCACAGUUAAGCCGGCUACCAGAGCCAGCCCUACGACGCCACUGUCAUGGAGCGGUGGUGCCACCUCUCUCAGUGGCGGCUCUGGUGGCCGUGACGAAUCCAGUCAUUCUCCUCCCAAACUCUCUCACCAUGAAAGAUCUAAGGUUUGUAGCACAAAAUAUAUUAUACUCUAUAUAUUUAGAUACAGAUUACAAUAGAUAUUACAUAAUCUAUACCGACAACCGGUUACUUUUCCGGCGGACGGCGUGUUCUUUGCCACCGGAGUGUCUUUUCGUUUUUCUCUCCAUUAGAGUCUCGGGUCAGUUCCCAAUGGUUGCGGAAUUUGUUUAUGGACGGAAUUACCCUUGGAAAUUUACUGCCACGCGCCUAGGAGAAUCAGAUUCAGCUUUAUAGGUUUAGUUAUUAGCUUGACCAUUGCUGUCUAUCACCGGUACACACGACCAUUGGACUGCUUAGGCUUUUAGGCUGUGAAUAUUUUGUUGACCAAAAUACCCUUCCAAGUUUUUGUCUCGUCUUUGGGUGAUAAAUUAGUGCCCUGUUUGACCCAUUAAUUUUCAUUCCAUUCCAUUACAUUUCAUUUUAUCACUCUUAUAUUAAACGUAAAUUGAAAAUUUUCUCUUCUUUUUCAAUCACUCAUUUUUCAAAAAAAUACUAUUUCACCCAUUUUCAUUGCUAGAUCGCACACUUUCAAUUAAUAUUACAUAUCAAACCCGACCUUUAUUUUAGCUCAUUUUAGUUGGUUCUUUCUUUGGUCAAUUUUCUACCCACCUGCUGGACCUCAUUACUCUGCGUAUUCCUGUCAAUCCUAUGAGGUUGCCCAAUUACAAAAUUAACCCUAUAUAUUGAAAGGCUAAAUGCGUCAUUUGACUCAUUCCUUCUUGAAUUGGCCAAUAAAGUGUCUAAGGAAAGUCCUUGGGGUCACCCAGCCUUCAGCCAUCCAAGUCAAACUUUCCUCCACAAAAUUACCUCAUUAAUCUCGAUGGAAUUGGAUGACAGUGAAGAGUGAGGGGUAUUUCGGUCAAUUCAAUUAGUAGGGUGUUGUUAUGCUACCUGUUUAUACGGUGGCGUGUUUUCGUGGCAAGAUAGGUAUGCGUUCAGUUUGGUGGUGUGUUGUGAGUGGUUGUACACUUUAUUAAGAACUUUCCACUUUUAUAUUAUGGGGAAUAAUAUAUUGUGGUUCGGACCAAUUUAGCUAAACAUGCACCCUCAAAAUCUAGUUAUUAUCCAUAUCUUCUUGUCCUUAUUUUCCAACCAUCUCAUGCCACUCGUACACAACGAAUGCGAACAUUUCGAAGCACGGCACCCACUGUACCAAGUUAUUUUAUCAUGUGAAUGAAUCCACAACUAAAUAAAGUAGUGAGAAAUAUCUCAUCACAAAAGUACACAGAUAAAUAUAUAUAUCAUGUCAUAGUACCACAUUUAUUAUUAUACUUUUCCUCCACAUUUUCCUUUGCCACCACCAUUCCUUCUCCUUCUUCUCUCCCAAAUUUCUACAUAUAUCUCUGCGUAUAACUGUCUCUAUAUUACGGUAAACAAGAGAUAUGAGUGAGGACGAAGAGUGGGUAAAAACGGCGAUGAUUGAUGACUUGAUGGUGGUGGAGCUCCUUAUGCGGCUAAACCAAUCUCAACAUCCGCCGCCUCCGCCGUCGGGGGAGAUUAAGCAGCUUAAGUGGAGCGUCCGUCAACGCCGGUCCAGACCUGCCACAGUUAAGCCGGCUACCAGAGCCAGCCCUACGACGCCACUGUCAUGGAGCGGUGGUGCCACCUCUCUCAGUGGCGGCUCUGGUGGCCGUGACGAAUCCAGUCAUUCUCCUCCCAAACUCUCUCACCAUGAAAGAUCUAAG